UCUCCUACGGGAGGCAGCAGUGGGGAAUAUUGCACAAUGGGCGCAAGCCUGAUGCAGCCAUGCCGCGUGUAUGAAGAAGGCCUUCGGGUUGUAAAGUACUUUCAGCGGGGAGGAAGGCGAUGCGGUUAAUAACCGCGUCGAUUGACGUUACCCGCAGAAGAAGCACCGGCUAACUCCGUGCCAGCAGCCGCGGUAAUACGGAGGGUGCAAGCGUUAAUCGGAAUUACUGGGCGUAAAGCGCACGCAGGCGGUCUGUCAAGUCGGAUGUGAAAUANNCCGGGCUCAACCUGGGAACUGCAUCCGAAACUGGCAGGCUUGAGUCUCGUAGAG
rnacentral:rRNA from 1 species